rnacentral:rRNA from 1 species
UAGAGUUUGAUCAUGGCUCAGGAUGAACGCUAGCGACAGGCCUAACACAUGCAAGUCGAGGGGCAUCGGGGCGAGGAGCAAUCCUUGCCGCCGGCGACCGGCGCACGGGUGAGUAACGCGUAUGCGACCUGCCCGUUGCAGGGGGAUAAUCGGGAGAAAUCCCGUCUAAUACCGCGUAAUGCCGCGGGGCUGCAUGGCCCUGCGGCCAAAGGGAGCGAUUCCGGCAACGGAUGGGCAUGCGUGACAUUAGCUAGUUGGCGGGGCAACGGCCCACCAAGGCGACGAUGUCUAGGGGUUCUGAGAGGAAGGUCCCCCACACUGGUACUGAGACACGGACCAGACUCCUACGGGAGGCAGCAGUGAGGAAUAUUGGUCAAUGGGCGCGAGCCUGAACCAGCCAAGUCGCGUGAGGGAUGACGGCCCUACGGGUUGUAAACCUCUUUUGUCGGGGAGCAAAUUCCGCCACGUGUGGCGGAGUCGAGAGUACCCGAAGAAAAAGCAUCGGCUAACUCCGUGCCAGCAGCCGCGGUAAUACGGAGGAUGCGAGCGUUAUCCGGAUUUAUUGGGUUUAAAGGGUGCGUAGGCGGACUGUCAAGUCAGCGGUAAAAUACGGGGGCUCAACCUCCGCCCGCCGUUGAAACUGACGGUCUUGAGUGGGCGAGAAGUAUGCGGAAUGCGUGGUGUAGCGGUGAAAUGCAUAGAUAUCACGCAGAACUCCGAUUGCGAAGGCAGCAUACCGGCGCCCAACUGACGCUGAAGCACGAAAGCGUGGGUAUCGAACAGGAUUAGAUACCCUGGUAGUCCACGCAGUAAACGAUGAAUACUAGCUGUCCGGGGCGAAUGAGCCCUGGGUGGCACAGCGAAAGCGUUAAGUAUUCCACCUGGGGAGUACGCCGGCAACGGUGAAACUCAAAGGAAUUGACGGGGGCCCGCACAAGCGGAGGAACAUGUGGUUUAAUUCGAUGAUACGCGAGGAACCUUACCCGGGCUCAAACGACACAGGAACGUACCUGAAAGGGUUCGGCUCUACGGAGCCUGUGUCGAGGUGCUGCAUGGUUGUCGUCAGCUCGUGCCGUGAGGUGUCGGCUUAAGUGCCAUAACGAGCGCAACCCCCAUCGACAGUUGCUAACAGGUCAGGCUGAGGACUCUGUCGAGACUGCCGGCGCAAGCUGCGAGGAAGGCGGGGAUGACGUCAAAUCAGCACGGCCCUUACGUCCGGGGCGACACACGUGUUACAAUGGCAGGUACAGCGGGAAGCCACCUGGCGACAGGGAGCGGAACCCGAAAGCCUGUCUCAGUUCGGAUUGGAGUCUGCAACCCGACUCCAUGAAGCUGGAUUCGCUAGUAAUCGCGCAUCAGCCACGGCGCGGUGAAUACGUUCCCGGGCCUUGUACACACCGCCCGUCAAGCCAUGGAAGCCGGGGGUGCCUGAAGUGCGCUGCCGCGAGGAGCGCCCUAGGGUAAAACCGGUGACUGGGGCUAAGUCGUAAUCAAGGUAGCCGUA